GGAUCGGGUUAGGGUUAUCUAUUGGCUGAGCAAGCUGCCUGUGUCCUGACCUAAACUUCAUGUGAUUGGUCGACGUAACCAUCAGUCAAGACAGUUAGCAGCCAAGAUGGCGGCAGCUAAGGGUAAAAAGAUAGCUUUUCAUCCAGAAAGAUGACUCGGUGACCGUUUAUCUGUAUUAAACUAUUGGGCAAAGUCUCUGAUAAGUCACUGAAGUACCACGCCGGAUUACUUAGCUUCUGGAAGGGCUACAAUGGCACUCAAGUCCGCUUUGAAACGGCAAAGCUGUUAGCUAAUCAGGCUAAAAACACAGCCUGCUACUAGCAGUAGUGGAAUAAUUUGGGACAUGCCAUGUUGGUAGAUAGAAAUAAUAGGUGAAGGUACCCACGCUGCGCCAGCUAUGUUGGAGAGGUCUGAGUGGGAACCAAUGCCAGAGUAAAAAAGAAGUGGGUGCAGGAGCCAUCAUCUUGCCUCGGCGGCAGUGCUAGUAGACUACUUCUGGCGUCUCUUUGGUCUUGCUGACAGUCACGAGUAGGUUGGUUUGUUCAGGUCAGGUCCUUUACAUCUUUUCAAGAAAAAAGCCACAGUAUAGUAUGUCUAACAAAUGAUAAAAAGCCAUAGUAUAGUAU